UACUCAUGGUGCGGACAUAGGUUUUGUAGCUCCUUUGAAUCUCUCUCAGGCUUGGGAUAGGGUUUCACUAUCCUUUUGAGAAAAUGUUGAGAUCUGUCUCUUAAGGUU
rnacentral:snoRNA from 1 species